CAGCAGCCACGGUAAUACGAAGGGUGCAAGCGUUAAUCGGAAUUACUGGGCGUAAAGCGUGCGUAGGCGGUUUGUUAAGUCUGUUGUGAAAUCCCCGGGCUCGACCUGGGAAUGGCAAUGGAUACUGGCAAGCUAGAGUGUGUCAGAGGAUGGUGGAAUUCCCGGUGUAGCGGUGAAAUGCGUAGAGAUCGGGAGGAACAUCUGUGGCGAAGGCGACUAUCUGGGCCAACACUGACACUGAGGCACGAAAGCGUGGGGAGCAAACAGGAUUAGAUACCCGGGUAGUCCCUGUCUCUUAUAC
rnacentral:rRNA from 1 species